UGGUAGGAAAUUGCCUGCUAAUUAUCUGUAUGAAGUGAUGUAACGCGACUUUGGUUGAAUAAGAUGACACCAAGGACUUUAGCAGUCUUUAAGCUGCCCCCAUUGUAUAAAAGCAUACACUUAGAUUAUUGUAGUUGAUUGAUUCAUCUCUUGACAUUGUAUACCCUGGUAAAGAGUGAUUUGUGAGUGCUGAGAUAUUUUUAAGGUGCCCUUGAAGGGGUGUUGUGAUAUAAAUUCAAAACUGAACUUUGUUUAGUGAAUAUAUAUAUAUAGUACAUACCUUUUCUCAUCA